UUAAAGGGCCGCGGUAUUCUGACCGUGCGAAGGUAGCAUAAUAAUUAGUCUCCUAAUUAGAGGCUUGUAUGAAUGGUCGGACAAGAUGGAUACUGUCUCAAUACAAUAAAUAAAAUUUAAUAUUUGAGUAAAAAAGCUUAAAUAAUAUGGAGGGACGAUAAGACCCUAUAAAGCUUUAUAAUAAUUCUUUUUUAUAUAAAUUGUUGUUUAUUAACUUAUUUAAAAGUUUUUAUUAUUUUACUGGGGCGGUAAAAGUAUAUUAAAGAAUAACUGCUUUUAUUUUGUAUAACAAUUAUAAUUGAAAAUAAAUUGAUCCAUUAUUAAUGAUCAUAAAACCAAGUUACUUUAGGGAUAACAGCGUAAUUUUUUUUGAGAGUUCUUAUCGAAAAAAAAGUUUGCGACCUCGAUGUUGAAUUAAGGUUGCCUUAAGGUGCAGCAGUUUUA
rnacentral:rRNA from 1 species